UCGAGUAACGUUAAAAUACUCGUCUCGGCGGUGAAAUAAUGCAAUCUUUCGGUGAUGAUACUCUGAUUGCUUGUCUAAAUGUUGAAAAGAAGCAUAGAAUUUUGCAAGAAGAAAGCCGAGACAGAGUUCUGCAAGAAAUAAGCGAUAACGAAUUGGGUAAAUAUUUUAAACACAGCUUGUCGCUCUCGAAGUUCGGGAACGAAGAUAACGACACGAAUAAGUCAAAACUGUCACACUUUGCAAGCAAUAAAAAGGAAAUAACAAGAAAAGAUGAGUCUGAUAUUGGAAAAUAUUUUGAAAAUAGCGUUACAUUUGUUAAUAUUGAUAGUGAGAAGAAUUUGUCGUUAGCAUCAAGUUCUUCGAAAGAGGAUAAAAAUCUCUCUUCCCAGAGACAUAGAAGCUGCCAUAAAAUAAGCAGUAAGAACGCUAAUAUAACUUAUUUGAAUGAGAAGUGUCUUUUUAAUAUCAUAGAGAAAAGUGAUGAGCCUAAUAUAGAACAGAUUCAGAAAAAUAAGACUGAUGAUACUGAAAAAAAUAAAAUUGGUAAUAACUAUGUUACAUCAUCAUCAGCUGUCAAUUGUACAUACGAUAAAGAAAGUUCAGGGAUUAUUUUGUCUUUGCCUCUUUGUACUCAAGACCGAUGCAAACUGGCAUCAUGGGGCUUGCCACUAAAUAUUCUUCAGAAAUAUAUCGCUCGUGGAGUUGAAAAUAUGUUUGCAUGGCAAAUGGAGUGUUUGUCGAAUCACAAGAUAAUACAGGAGAAACAGAAUCUUGUAUAUUCUGCACCUACUUCAGCAGGAAAGACUCUUGUUGCUGAAAUUCUUUUGAUCAAGACUGUCCUAGAAAGGCAGAAGAAAGUAAUCUUCAUCCUACCAUUUGUUUCUGUUGUUAGGGAAAAAAUGUAUUACUUUCAAGAUUUAUUGUCUGAUAGUGGAAUAAGAGUGGAGGGAUUUAUGGGCGGUAUGGUGCCACCUGGAGGUUUUGCUGCUACUCAGGUUGCAAUAGCGACCAUAGAAAAGGCAAAUUCUUUGGUGAAUCGUCUGAUGGAAGAAAAUGAUCUAAGUAGUUUAGGAGCUGUAGUAAUAGAUGAAUUGCAUCUGCUCGGUGAUGCCAAUCGUGGCUAUCUUCUGGAACUGCUCUUAACAAAAUUGAAAUAUAUGACUAUUCGCAACGACGAUAUCAAUAUCCAGCUAAUCGGCAUGUCAGCCACAUUGCCGAAUUUGUCUUUGUUAGCCAAAUGGUUAGAUGCUGAAUUGUAUAAAACUGAAUUUCGUCCUAUUCCUUUAAAUGAAUAUUGCAAAAUAGGAACACAUGUAUAUGACAAUAAGUUUAGACUCGUUAGAAAAUUGGCAAUAGUACCAGAAUUAGAAGCGGACGCGGAUAAUAUUCUUCAGCUUUGUAUCGAGACAAUAAGCGCCGGUCACAGCGUGUUAAUCUUCUGUCCUACGAAGAAAUGGUGUGAAAAAUUGGCACAGCAAGUUGCAGUAGCUUUCUUCAAGUUAGGUUCUGGAAAUAGUACAUUUGGAGGGAUUUUGAAAAAGGAGAUCAAUCCUGAGUUAAUUCACGAAACUCUGGAGCAACUGAAACGCAGUCCGAGCGGCUUGGACAAUAUUUUGAAAAGUACGAUCUCGUUCGGCAUCGCUUUCCAUCAUGCUGGGCUCACGAUGGACGAGCGUGAUAUCAUAGAAGGAUCCUUCAGAACUGGAUCUUUGAGAGUCCUCGUAGCAACGUCGACAUUAAGCAGCGGAGUGAACUUGCCCGCACGAAGAGUAAUCAUAAGAUCGCCCAUGUUCGGUCCUAAUUUGUUGAACACUUUAACUUACAAGCAGAUGAUAGGUCGUGCCGGCCGUAUGGGGAAAGACAGCGCAGGAGAAAGUAUACUGAUAUGCAAACCAACUGAACGCAACGCGGCAGUGUCAUUGCUCUCUGCGAUUCUAGACCCGAUUGAAUCUUGCCUCAACGAUUCUACGUUGUUGAUAAGAGCGCUCCUGGAAGCCGUAGCUAGCGAAGUUUUAUAUACCUCGGAAGAUUUGGAGUUAUAUAUCAAUUGUACUUUGCUGAGCUUGAGCGAGCAGUCUAAUGUGCAAACUUUCUCCAGUGAAGCGAUUAAAUUCCUAUUGGACAAUGAAUUUCUAUUAUUGCAAACUACAGAGAAAGAAACACGAUGGAUAGCGACGUCGUUGGGAAAGGCGUGCUUGGCUGCUUCCGUACCUCCCAGGGAAGGAUUAUUCCUGUUCGAGGAGUUACAAAAGGCUAGAAGAUGCUUUGUUUUGGACACAGAGUUGCAUGUGAUAUAUUUGGUAACACCGCUCGGCUCCGGCAGUCAAAUCGAAACUGUCGAUUGGAUGACAUUUCACGAGUUGUGGAAUAUCAUGUCCGAAAGCGAGCGCAGAGUUGGAAGACUCGUCGGAGUCGAAGAACGCUUCCUGCUGUCAGCUAUCCGAGGAAUCAUUAGACCCGGAAAAUCGUUGAAUAUACACAAGAGAUUCUACAGUGCGUUGGCAUUGCAUGAGUUGGUGAACGAGGUUCCGCUUAACAUAGUCUGCAAGAAGUACGGCUGUUGCCGCGGAGUGCUGCAAACUUUACAGCAGUCCGCUGCUACGUACGCAGGCAUGGUCACGCAAUUUUGCAAACAGUUACGCUGGGACUGCAUGGAAUUGUUGAUAAGUCAAUUUCAAACGAGAUUACAAUUCGGUGUCUGCAGAGAAUUGUUAGAUCUGCUGCGCCUGCCGAUGUUAAACGGCUUGCGGGCGAGAAGCCUGUAUAAACAAGGGAUCACGUGUGUGGCGGACUUGGCUGUUGCUAACGAGCUUAACGUUGAACGCGCACUUUACAAUGCUCUUCCUUUCGAAAGUGAGAAAGAUUACGAAGGAGAAUAUGCGCUCGAGACGGAGAAAAGAAAUAAAAUAAGGACGGUAUUUGUCACUGGAAGAGAUGGGCUCACACCGCAGCAAGCGGCAAUUCUGUUGGUUCAAGAAGCGCGAAUGUUGGUUCAGAACGAGCUGGGACUCGAUCAACUUCCGUGGGAGCAGAAAGAACGAUCUCUCGAAAUAAAUACACAGGCAAGAAAUAUCAAGGAUGCGUCCAGUACCCAAGAACAAUCUCAAGUCCAAAUGGAUGCAGAUAAUUCCAAGUCUGCAAAAGUAGGAACAUCCAUCACGGAAAAUUCGCCACGUGAUAAGCUUGCGAGUAACGAGAAUCGAAAGGAUGAUACUUCGAGCGCCGACACACGCAAAGAAGCUGUCGAAAUUAAUGUAUCUGAAAAGAAGAGAACCACUGAAUCACUCGCAAGCUUGGAAAACAACGAAAAUGCGUCAAAUUUUUGUGACAUGAGUAGUCCCGAUAUGAUAGAAAACGACGAAUGUUUGAACAUCUCUGAAGAAAUAAAAGAUUAUUCUGAGAUCGAUAACAGUAUUAAGUUGAAAAGGAAGAAUAAAGAAGAAGAUAUUAAUAUAUUUAACAAGAAGCCAAAAAUCUCCAGUUCGAAUGAAAUUGAAGACACCGAUGAGGAUCAGACGGAAAAAAAUACAAGCAUGUCUAUUCUGAAUACGCGUGGUAAGUCACGUUCGAGAAGUCCCAGUCUGUUUGACGACAGUUUGAAUCUCGACACGCAGAUGUGCGACAUUCUCGAGCAGAAUGUCAUAGAUUUAUCUGGACUGGAGGACUGCAAUACAUUCGAGAGCAAGUAUAACGUCGCGAGUGCAUUGCAGAAGAAAUCUGCAGAUCCGAGUGGCAGCAAUGCGCAAAUGUGCAAUGAGAAUAACACGAAAGUACACGCCCCCAUAGACGUGGCGCAUUUAUCAUCGAAGAACAGCAUACUGUCGUGGGACGACGAUUCGUGGAACGAUUUUGCGGAGUUACCGAAGAAGGUUGUCGAGAAUACGAAGAGGGAAAUAUUACAAGGCAAGAUCAAAGACAUUGUGAAUACGAGCUCGUCCAUUGCUUCAAGAAAUGCGAAGACUUGCGCGCAAAAUAACAAGGUGGAUCUACAUAACACGGGCGUCAAGAAGCGCACAGCAGUCGCGGUUAAGGAGAAAGCGCUACGAAAGUCGAAGUUGCUGAAUAUAACGACCACGCAAUCGCCCGUGACGAACGUAAUCGUCUUUAGGGAUCAGCGGAAGAUAUCCGUGGACUCCAACGGAUCCGAUUCGGACAUCAUCAUCGCUUCGCAGCACUUCGAGUCUCCCUUAAACAACAGCAAGAGUCGAGUGAAGACACAGCUGGAGAAGAGAAUACAUAAGAUACGUUCUCAGAAACUCGUCGAGAGCACGGAAGAAAUAAACAAUCGCGUGAAUUCCCCCAUGGGAGCAAUACCAAGUGACGCAGUGGAAGACAGCGCCAAGAAAAGGGUAACGCUGAAGUUGAAGGAAAUUUUGCCGCGAAAUUUUGGCGUAGGCAGCUUCAUAUAUGAUUCCGAAGAUGAAGUGGUGGCUGAUUCGAAGUCAGUUUCAACAGUUAAACGACACGGGACGCAGUUAAGCGUUUCGAAGGAGAAAAUAAAGCCGAAUACAGAGAUUGCACCGCAACCUGAUAGCAAUGUGGAUUUGUUGAAUGGCACGAUAGAUUGGAAAACCUUGAACAUCGUGAAAGUUGCGAACAACAGGGCGACUUUCAGUCUGUUCAAGCGCGAGGUAUUGAAAAAACGAAGCUUCGCGUUGGCCUUACAUUGUGACAUGUACGUGGACAAUACAAAUAAUAUCGGGUCGAAGAUUUGUAUCAACGGCACGGAGAAAAAACGAAAAUUGAAGAAGUCUGUAAAUUACAUACACGGGAGGAAGGAGAUUCGCGGUGCUGCGAUUUCCUGGGAAAGUAAUAUCGCAUAUUACAUCUCAUUCAGUAACACACAAGAUGCAAAAAUCUCCACCAAAGAACAAAUUACUCUGUUGAAAGAGUUGCUUUCCGAUGCGGCUUUAUAUGUGAAAUGCUUUGCGAUCAAAGAUACAUAUAAACUGCUGUAUCGAUGUUGCGCUAUCUCGGCCAAAUGCAGAUUUCUCGAUCCAGUGAUAGCGCACUGGUUAUACACCAAUGACUUCGAGGGAAAUUUCAGCGAACUGGUGACGCAAUACUUUCCCCAAGGAAAUUUUAUAAUGAAACGUACGAAUUCCUGCUGCAACGUAGGCCCUGGGAUGGAUGUGCAAAAUUCUUUGCCAGGCGAGUUUAGAUCGGCCGCAGAAGCCGUGCUUACGUGGCACAUGACGGAUAGCAUCACGAGUAAAUUAGAAGAACUCAAUCCUGUGUUACUUCAUACGUUUAGAGACAUAGAGAUGAGAAUAGCGACGAUUUUAGCGUGCAUGGAAUUAUCAGGUAUUGGCGUGAAUUUGAAGGCAUUGCAAGAGACACUAUCGGUUAUUUUAAGCGAGAUGCAAUCUUUAGAAACAAGAGCUUAUGAUCUGGCAGGUAGAAAAUUUAAUUUAUCAUCGUCCAAAGAAGUUGGACAGGUACUGGGAUUGUACAAAGAUAAGAAAGUCAGUACGAGCAAAGCAGUCUUGGAGAAAUGCGACAAUCCAAUAUCACGUCUCGUAAUCUCAUGGCGUAAAUUAAACGCAACGAAAACAAAAAUCGUCUACCCAUUGUUGAAUUUAUCUCAAGAAGAUUCUCGUAUUCAUGGGAAUUGCAUAACUUGCACAGUGACGGGUAGAGUUUCAAUGCAUGAACCAAAUCUGCAGAACGUGCCGAAGGAUUUUCAUUUCGAAGAUAAUAAUCUCCUCGUGAGCGUAAGAAGGUCCUUCGUACCGGCCUUGGGCAACGUGAUGCUGUCUGCAGACUAUUGUCAACUCGAAUUACGUCUCUUGACUCACUUUUCACAAGAUUCGGUGCUGUGUGAAAUCAUGAAACAGCAGGGUGACAUCUUCAAAAGCAUUGCCGCUAAAUGGAACAACGUAAUCGAAGAAGAGGUGACCAACGAGAUGCGUCAGCGUACCAAACAAUUAUGCUACGGCAUGAUCUACGGUAUGGGGGUGAAGUCGUUGGCUGAAAAUCUGUGUAUAAGCGAGACCGAGGCUCAACAUUUUUUAGAAUCCUUUAUGAACGCAUAUCCUGGCAUAUACAAGUGGUUGGAUGACACGCUAGAGAAAGCGCAUCACAAUGGAUACGUGACAACGUUACUCGGAAGGCGCAGGCAACUUCCAGACUUAAGAAGCACGAAGUCGUCUACGAGAGCGCAAGCGGAACGGCAAGCUGUGAACACAAAGUAUUUCCCGAGACGCAAGGUACCCGUAAACUAAGGAGAAACAGUCGCGAUAUGCUACAAAGAGGUGGUUAUUUAGUUUUACAACUGCACGAUGAAUUGUUAUAUGAGGUAAAUUCAGCAGAUUUGAAAGAAGUCGCCAUAAUAAUUAAAGAGUCGAUGGAGGAUGUAUGCCAACUUACUGUGCCAUUACCUGUGAAAGUGAGAGUUGGCCCUGCAUGGGGCGAUUUAACUGAUUAUAAAUUUUAGAGG
rnacentral:misc_RNA from 1 species